rnacentral:rRNA from 1 species
AUCCGGAAGGUGCAAACGUUGUUCGGUGUUAUUGGGCAUAAAGGGCACGUAGGUGGCUGAGUAUGUCAGGGGUGAAAUCCUCGAGCUCAACUCGGGAACUGCCCCUGAAACUGCUCGGCUUGAGGGCCGGAGGGGGAAGUGGAACGAUGCAUGUAACGGUGAAAUGUGUAGAUAUGCAUCGGAAGGCCGGUGGCGAAGGCGGCUUCCUGGACGGUUCCUGACACUGAAGUGCGAAAGCGUGGGGAGCGAACGGGAUUAGAAACCCCAGUAGUCC